AGGUUCAAUCUCCAGUACCCCUCUCCAAAAAUAUUGGAACAGUAUGGAGAAGAUUAUCAUGGCCCCUGCACAAGGAUGACACACAAAUUCAUGAAGCAGUCCAUAUUAGA
ensembl:snRNA U6 U6 spliceosomal RNA